AACGAACGCUGGCGGCAGGCUUAACACAUGCAAGUCGAGCGCGUAGCAAUACGAGCGGCAGACGGGUGAGUAACGCGUGGGAAUCUACCCAACCCUACGGAAUAACGCAUGGAAACGUGUGCUAAUACCGUAUACGCCCUUAGGGGAAGAUUUAUCGGGGAUGGAUGAGCCCGCGUUGGAUUAGCUAGUUGGUGGGGUAAAGGCCUACCAAGGCGACGAUCCAUAGCUGGUCUGAGAGGAUGAUCAGCCACAUUGGGACUGAGACACGGCCCAAACUCCUACGGGAGGCAGCAGUGGGGAAUAUUGGACAAUAGGGCGGCAAGCCUGAUCCAGCCAUGCCGCGUGAGUGAUGAAGGCCC
rnacentral:rRNA from 1 species